AUUGAACGCUGGCGGCAUGCUUUACACAUGCAAGUCGAACGGUAACAGGUUAAGCUGACGAGUGGCGAACGGGUGAGUAAUGCAUCGGAACGUGCCCGAUCGUGGGGGAUAACGCAGCGAAAGCUGCGCUAAUACCGCAUACGAUCUGAGGAUGAAAGCGGGGGACCGUAAGGCCUCGCGCGAUCGGAGCGGCCGAUGUCAGAUUAGGUAGUUGGUGGGGUAAAGGCACACCAAGCCGACGAUCUGUAGCUGGUCUGAGAGGACGACCAGCCACACUGGGACGGAGACACGGCCCAGAGUCCUACGGGAGGCAGCGGGGGGGAAGUUGGGAAGAUGGGCGAAAGCCCGAUCAGCCAUGCCGCGUGUGUGAAGAAGGUCUUCGGAUUGUAAAGCACUUUAAGUUGGGAGGAAGGGCAGCUAGCGAAUACCUGGUUGUCUUGACGUUACCGACAGAAUAAGCACCGGCUAACUCUGUGCCAGCAGCCGCCGUAA
rnacentral:rRNA from 1 species